rnacentral:sRNA from 1 species
ACAAAGAUCGGAAUUGGGAUGACAUAGAAAGCAAAUUAAGAGCCGAAAGUGAAGUCCCUAUUGUGAAAACCUCAAGCAUGGAGAUUUCUUCUAUCUUACAGGAACUGAAAAGAGUAGAAAAGCAGCUGCAAGCAAUCAAUGCUAUGAUUGAUCCUGAUGGAACUUUGGAGGCUCUGAACAACAUGGGAUUUCCCAGUGCUAUGUUGCCAUCUCCACCGAAACAGAAGUCCAGCCCUGUGAAUAACCACCACAGCCCGGCCAUGCUGUGACCUACAAGCAAACUAAAUAGCCAACAUUUCUGAACCCCUAUGCCUCCUGUGCCAAGCUGCUCCCUGAAAUGGACUCCUUCAUCUGUACAGAUUUGUUAAACCAUUCUAUUUGCUUCUUAAUAAUAGGAUUUAUAUUAGUACUCAUUACCAUUGGACACAAUGACAUAAGUACUCUCCACAGUAAAGCAGACCUUUCACAACA